UACAGAGGGGGCAAGCGUUGUUCGGAAUUACUGGGCGUAAAGGGCGCGUAGGCGGCCUUCUAAGUCGAACGUGAAAUCCCCGGGCUCAACCCGGGAACUGCGUCCGAUACUGGAAGGCUUGAAUCCGGGAGAGGGAUGUGGAAUUCCAGGUGUAGCGGUGAAAUGCGUAGAUAUCUGGAGGAACACCGGUGGCGAAGGCGACAUCCUGGACCGGUAGUUGACGCUGAGGCGCGAAAGCCAGGGGAGCAAACGGG
rnacentral:rRNA from 1 species